CGAGGGGCAGCACGGGACUUCGGUUCUGGUGGCGACCGGCGCACGGGUGAGUAACGCGUACACAACCUACCUACGAGAGGGGGAUAGCCUUUGGAAACGAAGAGUAAUACCCCAUAGUAUUGCAAUUUAGAUUAAGAUGCAAUUAAAGCUACGGUGCUUGUAGAUGGGUGUGCGUUAGAUUAGCUAGUUGGUAAGGUAAUGGCUUACCAAGGCGACGAUCUAUAGGGGGCGUGAGAGCGUGAUCCCCCACACGGGUACUGAGACACGGACCCGACUCCUACGGGAGGCAGCAGUAAGGAAUAUUGGACAAUGGAGGCAACUCUGAUCCAGCCAUCCCGCGUGUAGGAAGACUGCCCUAUGGGUUGUAAACUACUUUUACUAGGGAAGAAUGUGUGAUAUUUAUAUCAUUUUGACGGUACCUAGAGAAUAAGCACCGGCUAACUCCGUGCCAGCAGCCGCGGUAAUACGGAGGGUGCGAGCGUUAUCCGGAAUCACUGGGUUUAAAGGGUGCGUAGGCGGCGUUAUAAGUCAGAGGUGAAAGGCACGAGCUUAACUGGUGAAUUGCCUUUGAUACUGUAAUGCUUGAAUUAGGUUGAGGUUAGCGGAAUGUGACAUG
rnacentral:rRNA from 1 species